AGUGAACGCUGGCGGUAGGCCUAACACAUGCAAGUCGAACGGCAGCACAGUAAGAGCUUGCUCUUACGGGUGGCGAGUGGCGGACGGGUGAGGAAUACAUCGGAAUCUACUUUUUCGUGGGGGAUAACGUAGGGAAACUUACGCUAAUACCGCAUACGACCUACGGGUGAAAGCAGGGGAUCUUCGGACCUUGCGCGAUUGAAUGAGCCGAUGUCGGAUUAGCUAGUUGGCGGGGUAAAGGCCCACCAAGGCGACGAUCCGUAGCUGGUCUGAGAGGAUGAUGGCCCCCAACGGAAAGGAGAAAAGGCCCAGAAGCCCACGGGAGGAAGCAGGUGGGAAGAUUAUGCAAAGGGGGGAAGACUGAUGCAGCAACAACGCGGGGGGGAAGAAGGGCCUCGGGGGGUAAAAACCCUUUUUUGGGGAAGAAAAAAAGCAGCAGGAAAAACCCACGUUUUGACGGGAACCAAAAAAAAAGAAACGGCUAACAACGUG
rnacentral:rRNA from 1 species